rnacentral:tRNA from 1 species
GUACUCCUAGCUCAAUUGGAUAGAGCAUCGGUCUUCGGAACCGAAGGUUAGAGGUUCAAGUCCUCUGGAGUACG